UUUCUAGCUUAUUUUUAAAGCAUCGAUUUGAAGAGUCGAAGUAACAGAAUUUUGUGAUA
rnacentral:tRNA from 1 species